rnacentral:rRNA from 1 species
CGCUUUUUGUUAGAUUUAAAUGGAAAGUAGAGCCUGCCCAGUGAAGUGAAAUUUAAACGGCCGCAGUACUCUGACUGUGCGAAGGUAGCAUAAUCAUUUGCUCUUUAAUUGGGAGCUGGAAUGAAUGGUUUGACGAGGGCUUAUCUGUCUUAAUACUAAUAUAUUAGAAAUUGACUUUUAAGUGAAGAGGCUUAAAUUUAAUUAUAGGACAAGAAGACCCUAUUGAGCUUUAAUAUGUUUUUGAAUUAUAAAUAUAUAAAUUAGAAUUUAAAUCAAAAAUGUGUUUGGAUUGGGGCGAUCAAGGAAAAAAUUUAACUUCCUUUAUUGAUAUAUGUAUGUAUAUUUAUGAUCCAGGAUUAAUGCUGAUUAAAAGAAAAAGUUACCAUAGGGAUAACAGCGUAAUCCUUCUUGAGAGUUCUUAUCGAAAGAGGGGGUUGCGACCUCGAUGUUGGACUAAGGUGUCCUAAGGGUGUAGCAGCUUUUGAGGGUUGGUCUGUUCGACCAUUAAAACCUU